UGCAGUCGAGCGAGGACUUCGGUCCUAGCGGCGGACGGGUGAGUAACGCGUGGGAACGUGCCCUUUGCUACGGAACAGUCCCGGGAAACUGGGUUUAAUACCGUAUGCGCCCCUCGGGGGAAAGAUUUAUCGGCAAAGGAUCGGCCCGCGUUGGAUUAGGUAGUUGGUGGGGUAAUGGCCUACCAAGCCGACGAUCCAUAGCUGGUUUGAGAGGAUGAUCAGCCACACUGGGACUGAGACACGGCCCAGACUCCUACGGGAGGCAGCAGUGGGGAAUCUUAGACAAUGGGGGCAACCCUGAUCUAGCCAUGUCGCGUGAGUGAAGAAGGCCCUAGGGUUGUAAAGCUCUUUCAGCGGGGAAGAUAAUGACGGUACCCGCAGAAGAAGCCCCGGCUAACUCCGUGCCAGCAGCCGCGGUAAUACGGAGGGGGCUAGCGUUGUUCGGAAUUACUGGGCGUAAAGCGCGCGUAGGCGGACUGGAAAGUUGGGGGUGAAAUCCCGGGGCUCAACCCCGGAACUGCCUCCAAAACUAUCAGUCUGGAGUUCGAGAGAGGUGAGUGGAAUU
rnacentral:rRNA from 1 species